ACCUCUAUAGUUUACAAAAACAUUAGGUUGCAAACCUAAAAAUUUAAGAGGCC
rnacentral:tRNA from 1 species